rnacentral:rRNA from 1 species
UGAGAAUGCCGGAAUGAGUAGCGAGAAUUAUGUGAGAAUCAUAAUGGCCGAAAGACUAAGGUUUUAGAAGGAAGGUUCGUCCGCUUCUAGUCAGCCGGGAGCUAAGGCGAGGCCGAAAGGCGUAGUCGAUGCACAUACGGUGGAGAUUCCGUAGCCGCCAUUAAUUUAAACAGAGGGACACUUUCAAGGGGCAUGACCCGGGCGUUGGUAGACCCGGGCGUAAGGGACCGAAGAUUAGUAGGGAAGCAUGCUUUAAGGAAGGCGAGAAAAGCUCUGUGUAUAGAAGAUGGCGCCCGUACCGCAAACCGACACAGGUAGUCAGGAAGAGAAUUCUAAGGCCAACGGGAGAAGGGUAGUUAAGGAACUCGGCAAAUUGACCCCGUAACUUCGGAAUAAGGGGUGCUCACGAGAGUGAGCCGCAGUGAAUAGGUCCAGGCGACUGUUUAUCAAAAACACAGCUCUCUGCUAAAUCGAAAGAUGACGUAUAGGGGGUGACACCUGCCCGGUGCUGGAAGGUUAAGAGGAAGGGUGCAAGCUCUGAAUUGAAGCCCCAGUAAACGGCGGCCGUAACUAUAACGGUCCUAAGGUAGCGAAAUUCCUUGUCGGGUAAGUUCCGACCCGCACGAAUGGUGUAACGAUCUGGGCACUGUCUCAACUACCCACCCGGCGAAAUUGUAGUACCGGUGAAGAUGCCGGUUACCUGCGGCAAGACGGAAAGACCCCAUGGAGCUUUACUGUAGCCUGAUAUUGGGUUUCGGAAAUCUAUGUACAGGAUAGGCGGGAGACUAGGAAGUAUGAGCGUCAGCUUAUACGGAGUCAUUGUUGGGAUACCGCCCUUAGGUUUCUGGAAUUCUAACCUGCGACCGUGAAUCCGGUCGGGGGACAUUGUCAGGUGGGCAGUUUGACUGGGGCGGUCGCCUCCGAAAAGGUAACGGAGGCGCUCAAAGGUUGGCUCAGCACGGACGGAAACCGUGCCUCAGAGUGUAAACGCAAAAGCCAGCCUAACUGCGAGGAUGACGGUCCGAGCAGUAACGAAAGUUGGAGUUAGUGAUCCGGCGGUAUGUGAAUGGAAAUGCCGUCGCUCAACGGAUAAAAGCUACCCUGGGGAUAACAGGCUGAUCUCCCCCAA